AUGGCUGCCCAUCUAUUUCAGAACAUGCAGGAAAUGGGCGCUCUAAGCGCAGGAUGUUCCAACAAAUUUUUUCUUCAGUUCAUGCAAAUUGGGCCAUAUGAACUAGGCUGUGCUACUGUUAUUUACUUGCUUGAGGACUAUUUCAGACAAGUUAAUCUUGAGCUACGAGGGGAAUGGCCACUGCUAGUAAAAGCUAAUUUCCGCGAGCUGUGUUCAUUCAGGCAGUUUGAUUCAGAUUCUACAUUAUGCUUGUUCCCUUGGAAUCCAGGGGGUUAUUUGUUCAGAAUAACCACAGGGUUUCUUACUUCUAGUAGCGGUUCACAAUGGCAUGUUAUGUGUAUCAUUGCGGAGUCCAGCCAGCGCUUCUCUCAGAUUGCAAAAAGUGAUUGCUUGUUUCCAAUUUGUCUGAAGGUGAUGAUGUGGUGCUUGGUUCUACUAUCUUCUGCUGACAUUGAUUAUGAGCUGCGGCAUCGACCAGAUCAAACAAAAGAUCGUGGUGUGCUUGCGAAGUUCAGAAUAUUGCAUAUUUUUCUAGUUCCUUCAGUCAAGCUGCAACCAUGGCCUUCCUGCAGAUAUACAUUCACACAUUUUGAGCAGCAGUUCUUUCCCCAGUUACCUUUUCCUAGGACUGACAAAAUGCCAGACACAAGGCAACACAUGAACAUUUCAGUACAGUGGCAGCACCUGGACAUUAUGCUAGUUCUGGACCAGCACCUCGACAUUCCGAAUUCGCGGCUUGAUGUUUCUAACAAUUGUUGCUCUUUGUUGUGGCUCGGUUCAGAUUAUGUGCUCAAUUAUGCUAUGGAUGUGAUUGGGUCUGACCAGGGCAUCUACCUGUUGGACAUAUCUUGGGAUCCUGGAGGGAUGGCAUGGCCGUUGUUACCCGAAUUGGCUCAGUUAGUGGUCUUCGAAGGAGGAAAGUGUGUCAUCAUCUUAACUGCGGCCUACCUCGUCCAUGCCACUACAUUUCAUUUCGGCUACUACAUGGACUCCGAUGGAUUCAAGGUACAACAAGUUUUGUGGGAUCAAGGUGGUGUGAGCCUUUCAAGUCUUAUACAUCCUCCGGGGGGGCCUACCUUGGCCACAACUACUGCUGCGACCUCGUCGAAAUCCACCCCGGCUUCGGCUACCACCGUUGACUACGAACGCUUCUUCAAGCUCGUUCAAGUCCACCUCAACAAUGGUUACUACUGCGACAACUACCAUGGCGACUCCAACAUGAUUGAUGAUCUUCAAGCACCGUGGGAUCCUGGCGAGCUCUUCAGGACAGCGGCUUGGGGGCAAGCCGCAUUUCAAGGAGGGGGGAUGUUAGGAGCCCUCCUAACCGGCCAGCCCAUCCGUGGACAGCAUAUGGGCUGGGCUGGGCUGUGCACACGUUGA
rnacentral:rRNA from 1 species